UACAGAGGGUGCGAGCGUUAUUCGGAAUUACUGGGCGUAAAGCGCACGUAGUCGGCUUUGCAAGUCGGUUGUGAAAUCCCCGGGCUCAACCUGGGAACUGCAUCCGAGACUGCAUUGCUAGAGUAUGGGAGAGGAAAGCGGAAUUUCUGGUGUAGCAGUGAAAUGCGUAGAUAUCAGAAGGAACAUCAGUGGCGAAGGCGGCUUUCUGGACCAAUACUGACGAUCAGGUGCGAAAGCGUGGGGAGCAAACAGG
rnacentral:rRNA from 1 species